CAGUCGCCGCGGGAAUACGUAGGGUCCGAGCGUUGUCCGGAAUUAUUGGGCGUAAAGGGCUCGUAGGCGGUUUGUCGCGUCGGGAGUGAAAACCAGCAGCUUAACUGCUGGCCUGCUUUCGAUACGGGCAGACUUGAGGCAUUCAGGGGAGAACGGAAUUCCUGGUGUAGCGGUGAAAUGCGCAGAUAUCAGGAGGAACACCGGUGGCGAAGGCGGUUCUCUGGGAAUGUUCUGACGCUGAGGAGCGAAAGUGUGGGGAGCGAACAGGAUUAGAUACCCCAGUAGUCCCUGUCUCUUAUAC
rnacentral:rRNA from 1 species